rnacentral:rRNA from 1 species
GACGAACGCUGGCGGCGUGCUUAACACAUGCAAGUCGAACGGAAAGGCCCUUUCGGGGGUGCUCGAGUGGCGAACGGGUGAGUAACACGUGGGUGAUCUGCCCUGAACUUUGGGAUAAGCCUGGGAAACUGGGUCUAAUACCGGAUAUGACCAGUGGGUGCAUGCUUGCUGGUGGAAAGCCUUGUGCGGUUUGGGAUGGGGCCCGCGGCCUAUCAGCUUGUUGGUGGGGUAAUGGCCUACCAAGGCGACGACGGGUAGCCGACCUGAGAGGGUGAUCGGCCACACUGGGACUGAGACACGGCCCAGACUCCUACGGGAGCAGCAGUGGGGAAUAUUGCACAAUGGGCGCAAGCCUGAUGCAGCGACGCCGCGUGAGGGAUGACGGCCU